rnacentral:rRNA from 1 species
CCCUUAGAUGUCCUGGGCUGCACGCGCGCUACACUGAUGUGUCCAGUAAGCACCUAACCUCUUCCGAAAGGAACGGGUAACCUUUGCAAAGCACAUCGUGAUGGGGAUAGAUUAUUGCAAUUAUUAGUCUUGAACGAGGAAUUCCUAGUAAGCACAAGUCAUCAGCUUGUGUUGAUUACGUCCCUGCCCUUUGUACACACCGCCCGUCGCUCCUACCGAUUGAAUGUUCCGGUGAGCUCUUCGGACUGCGCGGUCUGCAGUUUCUGCGUUCCGUGCGGAAAGUUGCGCAAACCUUAACAUUUAGAGGAAGGAGAAGCCGUAACA